UAGCUAGUUGGUGAGGUAAAGGCUUACCAAGGCGACGAUCUGUAGCGGGUCUGAGAGAUGAUCCGCCACACUGGAACUGAGACACGGUCCAGACUCCUACGGGAGGCAGCAGUGGGGAAUUUUGGACAAUGGGGGCAACCCUGAUCCAGCCAUGCCGCGUGAGUGAAGAAGGCCUUCGGGUUGUAAAGCUCUUUCGGCCGGGAAGAAAUCGCAUGGGCCAAUACCCUGUGUGGAUGACGGUACCGGAAUAAGAAGCACCGGCUAACUACGUGCCAGCAGCCGCGGUAAUACGUAGGGUGCGAGCGUUAAUCGGAAUUACUGGGCGUAAAGCGUGCGCAGGCGGUUUUGUAAGACAGGCGUGAAAUCCCCGGGCUUAACCUGGGAACUGCGUUUGUGACUGCAAGGCUAGAGUACGGCAGAGGGGGGUGGAAUUCCACGUGUAGCAGUGAAAUGCGUAGAGAUGUGGAGGAACACCAAUGGCGAAGGCAGCCCCCUGGGUCGAUACUGACGCUCAUGCACGAAAGCGUGGGUAGCAAACAGGAUUAGAUACCCUGGUAGUCCACGCCCUAAACUAUGUCAACUAGGUGUUGGGUGGGUAAAACCAUUUAGUACCGUAGCUAACGCGUGAAGUUGACCGCCUGGGGAGUACGGCCGCAAGGUUAAAACUCAAAGGAAUUGACGGGGACCCGCACAAGCGGUGGAUGAUGUGGAUUAAUUCGAUGCAACGCGAAAAACCUUACCUACCCUUGACAUGCCAGGAACUUGCCAGAGAUGGCUUGGUGCCCGAAAGGGAGCCUGGACACAGGUGCUGCAUGGCUGUCGUCAGCUCGUGUCGUGAGAUGUUGGGUUAAGUCCCGCAACGAGCGCAACCCUUGUCGUUAAUUGCCAUCAUUUAGUUGGGCACUUUAACGAGACUGCCGGUGACAAACCGGAGGAAGGUGGGGAUGACGUCAAGUCCUCAUGGCCCUUAUGGGUAGGGCUUCACACGUCAUACAAUGGUCGGUACAAAGGGUUGCCAAGCCGCGAGGCGGAGCCAAUCCCAGAAAGCCGAUCGUAGUCCGGAUUGCAGGCUGCAACUCGCCUGCAUGAAGUCGGAAUCGCUAGUAAUCGUGGAUCAGCAUGUCACGGUGAAUACGUUCCCGGGUCUUGUACACACCGCCCGUCACACCAUGGGAGCGGGUUCCGCCAGAAGUAGGUAGCCUAACCGCAAGGGGGGCGCUUACCACGGCGGGGUUCGUGACUGGGGUGAAGUCGUAACAAGGUAGCCGUAGGGAACCUGCGGCUG
rnacentral:rRNA from 1 species